GCCAGCAGCCAUAUCACUCUGCAACUCACAACUGGCAGCCCACUGAAGCUCAGCAGGUGUGAGCCUGGUCAGUACCUGGAUGGGAGACCUCCUGGGAAAAACUUAGGUUGCUGCUGGAA
rnacentral:rRNA from 1 species